rnacentral:rRNA from 1 species
GUGUCAGCCGCCGCGGUAAUACGGAGGAUGCAAGCGUUAUCCGGAUUUAUUGGGUUUAAAGGGUGCGUAGGCGGGAGAUUAAGUCAGUGGUGAAAUCCUGCAGCUUAACUGUAGAACUGCCAUUGAUACUGAUUUUCUUGAGUACGGUUGAAGUAGGCGGAAUGUGUAAUGUAGCGGUGAAAUGCUUAGAUAUUACACAGAACACCGAUUGCGUAGGCAGCUUACUAAGCCGAAACUGACGCUGAGGCACGAAAGCGUGGGGAUCGAACAGGAUUAGAAACCCUCGUAGUCC